GAUGAAGAACGUAGCGAAAUGCGAUUAGUAAUGUGAAUUGCAGAAUUCAGUGAAUCAUCGAAUCUUUGAACGCACAUUGCGCCCCCUGGUAUUCCGGGGGGCAUGCCUGUCCGAGCGUCAUUACUGCCCUCAAGCGCGGCUUGUGUGUUGGGCCCUCGUCCCCCCCGGGGGACGUGCCCGAAAGGCAGUGGCGGCGCCGUGCCCGGACCUCGAGCGUAUGGGGCUUUGUCACCCGCUCUGGAGACCCGGCCGGCGGCCGUCGGACCACCCCAACCUUUUUAACCGGUUGACCUCGGAUCAGGCAGGGAUACCCGCUGAACUUAAGCAUAUCAAUAAGCGGAGGA
rnacentral:misc_RNA from 1 species